rnacentral:rRNA from 1 species
AGAGUUUGAUCCUGGCUCAGAUUGAACGCUGGCGGCAGGCCUAACACAUGCAAGUCGAGCGGGGUUUUCGGACCUAGCGGCGGACGGGUGAGUAAUGCGUAGGAAGCUGCCCGAUAGAGGGGGAUACCAGUUGGAAACGACUGUUAAUACCGCAUAAUGUCUACGGACCAAAGUGUGGGACCUUCGGGCCACAUGCUAUCGGAUGCGCCUACGUGGGAUUAGCUAGUUGGUGAGGUAAUGGCUCACCAAGGCGACGAUCUCUAGCUGGUUUGAGAGGAUGAUCAGCCACACUGGAACUGAGACACGGUCCAGACUCCCACGGGAGGCAGCAGUGGGGAAUAUUGGACAAUGGGCGCAAGCCUGAUCCAGCCAUGCCGCGUGUGUGAAGAAGGCCUUCGGGUUGUAAAGCACUUUCAGCGAGGAGGAAGGGUGAUGUGUUAAUAGCACAUCAUUUUGACGUUACUCGCAGAAGAAGCACCGGCUAACUCUGUGCCAGCAGCCGCGGUAAUACAGAGGGUGCAAGCGUUAAUCGGAAUUACUGGGCGUAAAGCGCACGUAGGCGGUUUUUUAAGUCAGAUGUGAAAGCCCCGGGCUCAACCUGGGAAUUGCAUUUGAAACUGGGAAACUAGAGUGUGUGAGAGGGGGGUAGAAUUCCAAGUGUAGCGGUGAAAUGCGUAGA